rnacentral:rRNA from 1 species
UCCUGGCUCAGAUUGAACGCUGGCGGCAGGCCUAACACAUGCAAGUCGAGCGGUAGAGAGAAGCUUGCUUCUCUUGAGAGCGGCGGACGGGUGAGUAAUGCCUAGGAAUCUGCCUGGUAGUGGGGGAUAACGUUCGGAAACGGACGCUAAUACCGCAUACGUCCUACGGGAGAAAGCAGGGGACCUUCGGGCCUUGCGCUAUCAGAUGAGCCUAGGUCGGAUUAGCUAGUUGGUGAGGUAAUGGCUCACCAAGGCGACGAUCCGUAACUGGUCUGAGAGGAUGAUCAGUCACACUGGAACUGAGACACGGUCCAGACUCCUACGGGAGGCAGCAGUGGGGAAUAUUGGACAAUGGGCGAAAGCCUGAUCCAGCCAUGCCGCGUGUGUGAAGAAGGUCUUCGGAUUGUAAAGCACUUUAAGUUGGGAGGAAGGGCAGUUACCUAAUACGUGAUUGUUUUGACGUUACCGACAGAAUAAGCACCGGCUAACUCUGUGCCAGCAGCCGCGGUAAUACAGAGGGUGCAAGCGUUAAUCGGAAUUACUGGGCGUAAAGCGCGCGUAGGUGGUUAGUUAAGUUGGAUGUGAAAUCCCCGGGCUCAACCUGGGAACUGCAUUCAAAACUGACUGACUAGAGUAUGGUAGAGGGUGGUGGAAUUUCCUGUGUAGCGGUGAAAUGCGUAGAUAUAGGAAGGAACACCAGUGGCGAAGGCGACCCACCCUGGACUGAUACUGACACUGAGGGUGCGAAAGCCGUGGGAGCAA